rnacentral:tRNA from 1 species
AACUGUAGUCUAACGGAUAGAACGCAGGACUCCGACUCCUGUAAUGUGGGUUCGAUUCCCGCCAGUUGC